rnacentral:lncRNA from 1 species
AGCAUUUUUGCUGAGCCUGAAGAACUGGGCAGUGAUUAGAAAGAGAGAGGCCUCGAGUGGGAAUACCCAAUUCCAAACAAAACCAAAACAAACAAAAACAAACAAGGAGAUUAGAUCUUGAUGGUGCCGCCGGUACACCCUUUUCACCGAAGUGGUUAGUUCGGCUUUGGUAUCUCAGAUUCUUUCUUCGACAUCUUUCUAUUUCUCUUUUUCUUUCAGUCCCUUCGAUUUGAAUUGGUUUUUUUUCUCACAGUGACAGAUCUUAAUUUACACUUGAUAUGAGCCUAAUACCAUAUGUUUUUCUUCUAGUGUUAUCGUUAUUAUCAUUACUUUUAUUCUCUAUGUUUUAGUUUCUUCGCACUGAUUUGAUUUUGGAUGGGAAAACAGUUGCAUGUUGUUUUCUUGUUGAAGAAUCGGUGCGUACAUAAAAAGCUUGAUUGCAGCUACUGCUUGUUUCUGAUGAUUUCAGAAAUUUGUUGGAUUAGUUGCGAUUGAGCAGCGGCCAGACAACCGUAGAGAUGGAAUCCACAGAUGAUGAGUUUUUUCUCUCUCAUCAUUCUACUAAUUCCAUCUCACAUCAUAAAUUUCAAAACCCUAGAAAUGUCCGGUGAAUUCAAAGGAGCGAUGAUUAUAAUGAAAAGCCUGUAGUGGGAAAUAUCCAAUUUCAUUUCACUUGGAAAUCACAUGCAAAUAUCAAAAAUAAAAUAAAAACAAAUUAUAGGUCAGAAUUUGAAGUUGCUGCCACACUCUUUUCGUUGAAGGGUUUGGCUUUGGUAUCUCAGAUUCUGCCGUCUUCUUCUUUCUCCUCUUCAUCUUUCUGUCCCUUCAAAUUGAAUUGGGUUUUUUUUCCUACUGUGACAGAUUUUUUAAAAUCUACACUUGAUAUGAGCUCAUGAACCUUUUCAUUGUUUUGUACCGAGGAUUGAUUUUUUUUUUCUUUGUGUGUUUAAUACAUCUUUUUGCACUGAUUUUAAUUUUGGAUGGGAAACAAUUGCGUGUUGUUUUCUUGUUGAAGAUUCAGUGCGUACAGAAAAAGCUUGAUUAUAACAACUGCUUGUUUCUGAUAACAUUUUCAGAAAUUUGGUGAAUUUGUUGUGAUUUGGCAGCGGCCAGACAACCGUAGAGAUGGAAUCCACAGAUCUUGAGUUUAUUUCUCAAUAUUCUACUAAUUCCAUCUUACAUUUCUUUUCUUCAUAAAAAACAUACUGCUAAUGGUUCUUCGUAGAAUGUAUGAGUUUUUAUCUUAGGCUUUGUUUGGAUUAGUUAUUUGUAAAUUUAAAUAAUAGAAUGCCAUUAAAUACCACCAUUACAUUCUACUAAACUAAACAUAUCCUUAGGAAAGAAAUCAACUCCAGUACAUUGAGGAGGGUGAUCCUAGGCAAGAUCAGCACAUUAAGUUUGAUGCUUAUAUGCGAAGUUAAAUGGAUAAAUUCAAUCUGUUAAAUUGAUGAUUGAACAUUGAGUUGAAGUUAAAACUUUAUUCAUAAGUUUAGGUCUGUAUCUUUUUGUAAUUUUAAAAGAGCAUUGCUCCAGUGUUAUGGUUUCCCUGCCAUGUUCCAUUACUUUGUGGAUUUUUGUGUGGCUGAUCUAGUUGAGGUUGGUAUGUCUGUUUGCCAUUCUUACAUAUGCUUGCUCUAACACCUCAAUUCAAUACCUUAGGAGUCAUAUAGUUCACUGAUUUUGUCUUGUUUGGUUACUAAAUUGUCAAACAAUGGAAUGAGCAUUUAAUAUUUUCUGCUUCAUUUCACUAAUCUUAUAAGGUUCUUUCAUUUAAGAAUUUGCUUAUUAAAUGUUGUUCCUAAUGGCUUGCAAGUUUCAUCCCUUGAUUGGUCUGGAGUUUACAUUUAUGGAUUUCUAAUUAAGUGAUAGAACAUUGUAACCUUGGACAAAUUGUUCAACCUCUUCGACCUAACUCUUGUAAUUUUGGCAUUAGGAGUGAUUAAAUCCUGAAUCAAAACUGUUAAAUCCUGACGACGUCUAGUCUUAGAAAGAUGCAUUCUCUAUUUUUGUUUUGAAUCAAAACUACUAGAAAAUUCGAUUAACUCCUACUCCUUCGUCUCAUAAAUUUAAACACUAAAAAAUAAUUAGAUGUGUUUGUUUUGAUAAUAAAAUUUAUAAAUUUUUUAAAUAUUUUAGUUAAUUGUAAUUAAUAGAGGAGUUGAAUAAUUUAAAAGUUAAUAAAUAGAAAUAUAUGAUUAGAAAAAUCAUAGUAAAUAUUGAGAAAAUUUUGAGAUAGAAAAAAGGUCAAAUGAGAAUUUUUGUCACGGACUUGGUUUAUUUUAUUAGUUGUUAUUUUAAAUAGUAGUUUGACUGAUAGUCUAUUAUAUUUUCUUUCAUUUUUUAACAAAAAAACUCUUUUUUAUCUUCUAUAAUUUUAAUUUUAAAUAAAAUAAAUAUAUAUUAAAUUUUUAAAUAAAUUUCUUAUAUAUCAUCUAUAUUUAUAAAGUUAGUUGAAUUAUUAAUUUUACUAAAUAUUUUAAUUUUAUGUAAGCUAUCACUCAUUAGUUAUAAAGUAUAAACUAGUUUUUCAAUCAAUUGCCAUUUUUAUUGCUAUUUUUAUUAAGAAGAGCCUUUAUGAAACGGAGAGUGUGAUGAUUUGUCUCUAAAAUAAAUACAUUAAUUAUUAUUAAUGUGCUUUUUAAAAUUCAUACUUGAUUUUUUUAAUGGUGAGAACAAAAUUCAAAUUGUGGGAUUACAUAUGUUUACAGAUAUAACAGGCAAUGGACCUAUACAUUCGUAUCUCCAAUUGGGCCAUAUACAACCUCAAUGUACAUACAGUUGUAAAACACUAAUCUGUCGUUAUUUUAUUUGUGACUAUUGAUAGUGAUUUACAAUAUUUGUGAUGAUUAAUUUAUUUUUAUUAAUAAUAAAUUUAAAUAAUAACA